GUUGUAUGGUUAAGUGACUAAGCGUACACGGUGGAUGCCUGGGCAGUCAGAGGCGAUGAAGGACGUACUAACUUGCGAUAAGCGCAGAUAAGGCAGUAAGAGCCGUUUGAGUCUGCGAUUUCCGAAUGGGGAAACCCAACUGCAUAAGCAGUUACUGUUAACUGAAUACAUAGGUUAACAGAGCAAACCGGGGGAACUGAAACAUCUAAGUACCCCGAGGAGAAGAAAUCAACCGAGAUUCCGGUAGUAGCGGCGAGCGAACCUGGAUUAGCCCUUAAGCACUCGGUGAAGUAGGUGAACAAGCUGGAAAGCUUGGCGAUACAGGGUGAUAGCCCCGUAACCGACGCUUCAUCGAGCGUGAAAUCGAGUAGGGCGGGACACGUGAUAUCCUGUCUGAAUAUGGGGGGACCAUCCUCCAAGGCUAAAUACUCCUGACUGACCGAUAGUGAACCAGUACCGUGAGGGAAAGGCGAAAAGAACCCCUGUGAGGGGAGUGAAAUAGAACCUGAAACCGUGUACGUACAAGCAGUAGGAGCACCUUCGUGGUGUGACUGCGUACCUUUUGUAUAAUGGGUCAGCGACUUAUAUUCAGUGGCAAGGUUAACCGUAUAGGGGAGCCGUAGCGAAAGCGAGUCUUAACUGGGCGCUCAGUCUCUGGAUAUAGACCCGAAACCGGGUGAUCUAGCCAUGGGCAGGUUGAAGGUUGAGUAACAUCAACUGGAGGACCGAACCGACUAAUGUUGAAAAAUUAGCGGAUGACUUGUGGCUAGGGGUGAAAGGCCAAUCAAACUCGGAGAUAGCUGGUUCUCCCCGAAAGCUAUUUAGGUAGCGCCUCGGACGAAUACUACUGGGGGUAGAGCACUGUUAAGGCUAGGGGGUCAUCCCGACUUACCAACCCUUUGCAAACUCCGAAUACCAGUAAGUACUAUCCGGGAGACACACGGCGGGUGCUAACGUCCGUCGUGGAGAGGGAAACAACCCAGACCGCCAGCUAAGGUCCCAAAGUAUUGCUAAGUGGGAAACGAUGUGGGAAGGCUCAGACAGCUAGGAUGUUGGCUUAGAAGCAGCCAUCAUUUAAAGAAAGCGUAAUAGCUCACUAGUCGAGUCGGCCUGCGCGGAAGAUGUAACGGGGCUAAGCAAUACACCGAAGCUGCGGCAAUGUCUUUUAGACAUUGGGUAGGGGAGCGUUCUGUAAGCCGUUGAAGGUGAAUCGUAAGGUUUGCU
rnacentral:rRNA from 1 species